ACAACAGUCUUUCCUGUCGCGCUUGCCAAGCAAGUAAAAACAAGUGAGGAAAGUCGGGACAACACAGGGCGCCAUACUUCCUAACGGGAAGGUUGCCGGUAACGGCAAACAGCCAGUGCCACAGAAAAUAACCGCUCUGAGUUUAUCGAAGAGUAAGGGUGAAAAUGUGAGGUAAGAGCUCACGUUGCAAGAUGGCGACACCUUGCAAGGGUAAACCUUAUGGGUUGAAAGGUCAAAUAAACCACGACAGGAGUUGCCCGCUCCGUUUUUGAAAUUCAAAAUUCGUGGAGGGUAGACCGAUAGAGGUUGCAGGCGACUGCAACUCGAGAUAAAUGACAGGAACACGAUUUAUCGUGUAACAGAAUCCCGCUUAUGAGACUGUUGGUGCU
rnacentral:RNase_P_RNA from 1 species